GUCGCCUCCUAAAAGGUAACGGAGGCGCUCAAAGGUUCCCUCAGAAUGGUUGGAAAUCAUUCAUAGAGUGUAAAGGCAUAAGGGAGCUUGACUGCGAGACCUACAAGUCGAGCAGGGUCGAAAGACGGACUUAGUGAUCCGGUGGUUCCGCAUGGAAGGGCCAUCGCUCAACGGAUAAAAGCUACCCCGGGGAUAACAGGCUUAUCUCCCCCAAGAGUUCACAUCGACGGGGAGGUUUGGCACCUCGAUGUCGGCUCAUCGCAUCCUGGGGCUGUAGUCGGUCCCAAGGGUUGGGCUGUUCGCCCAUUAAAGCGGUACGCGAGCUGGGUUCAGAACGUCGUGAGACAGUU
rnacentral:rRNA from 1 species